CCUACGGGUGGCAGCAGUGAGGAAUAUUGGUCAAUGGGCGAGAGCCUGAACCAGCCAAGUAGCGUGAAGGAUGAAUGCCCUACGGGUUGUAAACUUCUUUUAUCAGGGACUAAAGUGCGGCACGUGUGGUUUUUUGUAUGUCCUUUAUGAAUAAGGAUCGUCUAACUCCGUGCCAGCAGCCGCGGUAAUACGGAGGAUCCGAGCGUUAUUCGGAUUUAUUGGGUGUAAAGGGAGCGUAGGUGGGUUGUUAAGUCAGUUGUGAAAGUUUGCGGCUCAACCGUAAGAUUGCAAUUGAUACUGGCAGUCUUGAGGACAGUAGAGGUAGGCGGAAUUCGUGGUGUAGCGGUGAAAUGCUUAGAUAUCACGAAGAACUCCGGUUGCGAAGGCAGCUUACUGGACUGCAACUGACACUGAGGCGCGAAAGUGUGGGUAUCAAACAGGAUUAGAUACCCGGGUAGUC
rnacentral:rRNA from 1 species